ACAACAAUAAUAAAAUCAGCAAAGAAAUCGACUCGAUUCUGACAUAACAAAAACAACAAGCCAGAUGAGUAGCAAACAGAUUUUUUUGGAGAGGGUGUGCUUUUCCAGGAGUUAACCUGGCGACCAGAGGAAAACAAUAAAACUACCUUGAGGUAGCUGAACUGGUUGAAUCAUCAAGUGACUAUGGCACCACCAGCAUCCAAAAAAAUACGUUUACCUUUGAACCCACCGGGCUCAGAAAAUCUUGUUCGACGAUAGCGGUCACUAAAAACAACAACAGACUGUUUAACAACAAAAACAAAGCAUGCAGCAAUUAUUUGAGGGGAGCUACGGCUCCCCUCAGUGCUUUCUGCUGUCCCUUCUCCCUAUGAGC
rnacentral:sRNA from 1 species